CACUUCCGGAGAUUGGUGCUGGAAACGAGGUUGGGCCGCGAGCUCGGUUCGGCCCCGCACUUUAGCCAGCGGAGGCGCCUCCGCCAUCACUCGGGAAGUGGGGCGGGGAGACCCUUCCAGUCUGGACGAAGUUCUGGGCCCGCCUGCGAAACUCUCGUUUCUGGGACGCGGUCACCAGAUUUCCACAUUGCUCACGAUGCACGAGAAAAAUCAGGUCAAAAAGGGGAAAAAUGAGAACGAAAGAAAACAAAAAGCAAAUAAACGACCACAAAAAGAGUGAGAAUCCGGUGCUUUGCUCCACACUCAGUUCCCACAGUCCUCUCUGGGGGCAGACUCGGAGACCACUGAAACCCGCCUGGGUCAUCUCCCUGCUGAAAAGAGCCCCGCCCAUCAGAAUGGAUGGAAGUAUGACCUUGUCCCGGUGUCCAAUGAUCUCCCGGUCCUGCUCACUUCCCUCAGCACCAGUUCCCGGCAGUCUCUCCAGGCCUCCCUGAAAUCCUCCUGCUGCUCGUUUCUUGCAGAACCAUCAUAUUCCCGUAACUCAUUCAGCCUGUCUCCGGCUGGGCUCAGUUUCCAUCCACUAGCAUUUAUUAGCCACCGUCUGUGUCCGGCCCUCUGUCAAGCAUUGGGUAAAGCCAGUUUCUGCCCUCUCGGAGCUUACAAAAUAAAGGAAGGAGAAUAGACUAAGCGGGGGCUAGGUGGAAAAAGCCAAAGAAGCCCCCCCAGCAGGGCAGCCGGGAGGGGAUGCUCUAGUCCAGGUUCCCUCCUUUCUCUUCAGUGCGGGGCAGGAGCUGGGAAGGAGGUGCAGGCCCGGGCUGCCGGGAGCUCGGAUGUCCAAGGGAAAGGGGAGUCACGGGAUGUACUGAGGAGUAAAUGAGCGAGACUUCCUGGCAGAAAUCCUCCCGGACGCUUCAGCCUGGCCUCCGAGCCGCUGGCCACGGGCGCCUGUUUCACGGGCAGCCUUCGGGGAGGUUGGGGUGACUGCCUGGGAGGGCCUUCCAGCUCGGAGCUUCUGGGAUCACCCCCUGCUCUGGAAGCCGCUCUUCUCCGGUCCCCCCUCCCCAUAUGGAAACGUGAUCGUUGCAGGACUGUGGAAGACGUAGGUGUGACCCCGAAUGUGUGGUCCAGAAGCCAGGAAAUCCCUUACUGGCCCAUGCUUCAGUUUUCUCAUCUGUAAAAUGGACUUCACAAACUCCUGCCUCGAAACAGCGACCAGGGGAUGAGCACCGGGUUUGGAGGGAGGGAAGUGGCCAAUAAGGCCGCCUUAGACAUUUAUCGGUAUUUUGGGGUGGCUGGGUGGGGCGGUGGAUAGGGAACUGGGCCUGGAGCCAGGGAGACCGGAGGUCAGAUUCAGCCUCGGACACUAGCUGCGUGAGCUGGACAAGCCCCAUCCCCUUAUUGCCUCGGUUCCUCGUCUGCUUAACUAAAAAGGUGAGCUGGAGAAGGAAACGCAAACCCCGGGGAGCUGGCUUUGGGAAACCCACGGAAGCCCCCCAGGGACCAGGAGGCUCCCGGCCUUGGGCCUGCUGCUGUCAGAGGCUGGAUCUGAACUCGCGCUUUCGGCCGUUCUCUGUGUCCGAGCCCGUGUUUCUGGGUGCUUCUGCCUCUAGACUGGAGAACAGGGCCCGAAGCUGUAGCAGCUGCACACUCGCACCCACUUAUACUUACUGGCACACACGCUAACAUGCUUACACCCACACUGACACACACAGUAACACACUUGCACACUCAUCCUCACACACACUCAUUCACAUUUACACACUUGCACACACACAAAAUCAAGUCAAUCGGGGCCUCGGGACUUGGGGGCGUCUUUAUUUUCAGGAGCCUCUGAUGAGAUUUCACAUUCCCGUCAAUGACUUGAAAGGUGAGGAGCAGCCCCCCCCCCCCCAGCCCACCUCCCCUACCCCCUGCCUGCCACAGGAGCCCAGGCCCAGGCGAGGCAGCCCCGGGCCGGCUUUGGGGGACUCCGGGGCUCUGGGCCUGGGGAGCGGGGCCAGCGGCCUGCCCCAGCCCGGCCUCCUCAGGACUGCGGUGCUCAGGAAAGCCUUGUGGAAACUCCGCCGUUAACGGGCCGUGCCAGCGCCUGGCAGGCUGCCCCCUUCCCUCUUUCCCUCCUUCUCUCCCAGCUGCUUUUCCCCUAGUUGGGAGCGGGCCCAGGCCUGCCUGCCCUGGCCUGCCCCCCAGUCACUCUGAGGAGGGGGUUCAGUCUGGCCGGGCUUCUUCUCCUGGGGCUCCCGCCCGCCAGCCUCCCCCUGCCAGCCUCCCCUCCCUCCUCCUGCCCGAGCCCCUGGCUCUCCCGGCCCUGGCUCUCCCGGCCCUGGCUCCAGCCAGUUCCUGUGAGCAUUGUAUUGGCCAGACCUCCCACCCGGGCCCCUGUCCUGGGGAGGACUUGGGGGAGGAGAGGAGGGCCUGGACAGUCCAGCCUGGGGGCCACCAGGACCCCGGAGGCCAGCCUCGGGGAGCUGCCCCUUGGAAUGAGGAGGAGCUGCCUCCUGAGCCUCAGUGGCUUCAGCUGGAAAGUGGGGGUAAGCAUGCAGGCUGCCUUUGAGGGCCUGGGGGGAGGGGAGGGCUCCAGCAGCAAGGAAAAGGGAGGUGGGAGGGGGCACGGAACAGGCUGGAGCCAGCCCUCGACAGAAGGGGAAACUGAGGUACAGGAAUCAGGGGCCGGGCCCUCUCCCUUUCCCACGCUGAGGUGGUCGGGAAGGUGGAGGAGGCUGCAGCAGGCUGGAGGCCGCAGGGGGAGCGUUCUUGGCCGGCCUCCCGGGCCAGGCUGUGGGCGGCUGCCCAGGCCUAGCCUCCGAGGGGCUUGGGGCUGGGGGAGGGGCGGGGCUGUUCCCCUUUUCCCAAGAGCGGGGAUGAGAUCAGAAACAGACACAGAGAGAAGACUGGUGGGGGAGGGGGCGAGCUCUGCCCGGCCCCCCCUUCUAGGAAGCAGAGAGGGCGGGCGCAGCGCCCCCUGCUGGAGGGGACGGGCAGGGCCCCCUCCCCGCUCCCCCGCUCCCUUUCCCAGGCGCAGGCGGUGGCCCGGGUCCAGGGCCGGUUAUUGUUUGGCCGGGAGCUCCUGGGACACCCUGUCCCGGCCCAGCCCCUUCCCUCCCCCGCCCCGGCCCCGGCCGGACUACCUGCUCUCUCUGCGGGGUCCGGGCGCCCGGCACCCCGCUUCUGGCCACCCCCGGCUCCCUCCGAGCCUGCAGGAGCAGGGCCCGCCCGGCGAGCCUCCGGGGGCUCCGGGCCACUGCUUCUGGGGCGGCAGCCCAGAGAAACUGAGGCACCGGAAGGGAAAUGGCCGACACUUCCCAGCAGAGGAAGGAAGGAAGCCGGGCUCUCCCUCAGCUCUUAAAGGACCUCGUUCCUGGAAAUGCUAGUGAGGGGGUCCGACGGGGGGAGGGGCUGGAGGCCUUGGACCUUCAGGGUCUUUCUAAGGGGGGAGGGGAGGGAAUCUCGGAAUAAAAGCGAGCUCGUUCCAAAACUGGGCGGGAAGGAGAAAGGCUCCAAGGCCGGGGGGAGGAGCCCCUCCCCCCCUUGCUUUAGAGGAACCGAGUGGGAACCCAGCCCAGUCCGAGCCAGGCCCGGUGAUGACGGGAGGCCCCAGGAAGAGGCCCGGAGUUCAGAUGUUGCCCCCAAACUUCCUCACACCUGAAGAGACAAACAGGACGGCCAAGUGGGCUCCACAGGGGGACCGAGUUCCACCCGGGCGUGCCCGCUAGCCCGGACACAUCUGUAAAAUGGGGACAAUAACUGCAUCUCCUUCAGAGGAACCUGAGGCGAGGAUUAACACAGGGGACAGUAUUCGCCAGGGGCGCGCACAGACCUGGGGCUGGGGGCGGGGCUAGGGCAGCCAGCGGGAGCGCCCGCACGGGUGGGAUGGCUGGGAGGGGCCCCCAGGAGCCCUAACGGAGCGGCCCGAAGCCCCCGAAGUGGGGGCUAAGAACCCCCCUUUCCCGGCUCCCCUGCAGCCCCCACUUCCGGCGGGCUCUCCCCCAGCCAGGGAAAAGACCUCCAUUUGCUAAUGUGUCCCCACGGAAUGGAAGCUCCCUGAGGGGCGGGGCUCAUCCCCUUCCCCCGGGGGGCCGGCACUUAAUAAAUGACUCAACCCGCCCCUCCCCCGCCGCUACGGCAGGUAACCGGGAGCGGCGAGUAGUCGCCUCUUCCCGGGCGCUGGUGGAUUAACUGACUAGUAAAUGGUAAAUGGGCUGGAGCAAAGCAUGCCGGGACUUAAUCGAUGACUAGUAACCCCGAGCGCCCGGAACGCGGCCUUCAGCUCAGGCAGAGAACGCUCGAUUUGGCGGGGAGGGGAGGAAGGAGGGGGGAGGGGGGAGGGGGUGCGUGGGUGGAAGACAUUCCCUCCCUUUCCCAAUGGAGCGUUCGUUCAUUCAUUCAUUCUUUCUGAUCUGGCCGGAAGAAGAGUGAUCCACAGGCAGGCUGCCGGGGAAGGGGCUGCUGGGAGAUUCCCGGCUCCCAAGCCCCCCGGGGUCGAAUCCGCAGCUUUUCUGGCCUGUUUUGUUUGCAGGGGAAGGGCGGGGAUCGUGGGGGGCUGCUGCGGGCCCUUCCACUUGGUGUGGCUUUGGAGCUUAGGGACAGGCGGCAGAGAAAGGGUCCGCUGGGGCUGGGAUGAUCAAUAAUAAUAGUAAUAAUAACUCGCAUUUCUGU